UGAGUAAUGCUUAGGAAUCUGCCCAGUAGUGGGGGACAACACGGGGAAACUCGUGCUAAUACCGCAUACGCCUACGGGAGAAAGUGGGGGCUCUUCGGACCUCACGCUAUUGGAUGAGCCUAAGUCGGAUUAGCUUGUUGGUAGGGUAAAGGCCUACCAAGGCGACGAUCCGUAGCUGGUCUGAGAGGACGAUCAGCCACACUGGGACUGAGACACGGGCCCAGACUCCUACGGGAGGCAGCAGUGGGGAAUAUUGGACAAUGGGGGCAACCCUGAUCCAGCAAUGCCGCGUGUGUGAAGAAGGCCUGCGGGUUGUAAAGCACUUUCGGCGGGGAAGAUAAUGACGGUACCCGCAGAAGAAGCCCCGGCUAACUUCGUG
rnacentral:rRNA from 1 species